CAGUCGCCACGGUAACACGGAGGGUGCAAGCGUUAUCCGGGUUCACUGGGUUUAAAGGGUGCGUAGGUGGGCAGGUAAGUCAGUGGUGAAAUCUCCGGGCUUAACCCGGAAACUGCCGUUGAUACUAUCUGUCUUGAAUAUAGUGGAGGUGAGCGGAAUAUGUCAUGUAGCGGUGAAAUGCUUAGAUAUGACAUAGAACACCCAUUGCGAAGGCAGCUCGCUACACUAUUAUUGACACUGAGGCACGAAAGCGUGGGGAUCAAACAGGAUUAGAGGACCCCCGUAGUCCCUGUCUCUUAUA
rnacentral:rRNA from 1 species